rnacentral:rRNA from 1 species
UACAGAGGGUGCAAGCGUUGUUCGGAAUUAUUGGGCGUAAAGGGCGCGUAGGCGGUCGGGUAAGUCUGAUGUGAAAUCUAUGGGCUCAACUCAUAGUCUGCAUCGGAAACUGCCGGGCUUGAGUAUGGGAGAGGUGAGUGGAAUUCCUGGUGUAGCGGUGAAAUGCGUAGAUAUCAGGAGGAACACCUGUGGCGAAAGCGGCUCACUGGACCAUAACUGACGCUGAUGCACGAAAGCUAGGGGAGCAAACAGG